rnacentral:rRNA from 1 species
AGAGUUUGAUCCUGGCUCAGGAUGAACGCUAGCGGGAGGCCUAACACAUGCAAGUCGAACGGGAUUGAGAGCUUGCUCUCAUGAGAGUGGCGCACGGGUGAGUAACGCGUAUGCAACCUACCUUUAACAGAGGGAUAGCCCAUAGAAAUGUGGAUUAAUACCUCAUAGUUCUUUUGGCCCGCAUGGGCUGAUAGAUAAAGCUCCGGCGGUUAAAGAUGGGCAUGCGUGACAUUAGCUAGUUGGUAAGGUAACGGCUUACCAAGGCUACGAUGUCUAGGGGUUCUGAGAGGAUGAUCCCCCACACUGGUACUGAGACACGGACCAGACUCCUACGGGAGGCAGCAGUGAGGAAUAUUGGUCAAUGGGCGCAAGCCUGAACCAGCCAUCCCGCGUGAAGGAUGAAGGCCCUAUGGGUCGUAAACUUCUUUU